UGAGGAAUAUUGGUCAAUGGGGGCAACCCUGAACCAGCCAAGUCGCGUGAAGGAUGAAGGUCUUAUGGAUUGUAAACUUUUUUUAUACAGGAAUAAAUUGGGGGACGUGUCCCCUUUUGCAUGUACUGUAUGAAUAAGGAUCGGCUAACUCCGUGCCAGCAGCCGCGGUAAUACGGAGGAUCCGAGCGUUAUCCGGAUUUAUUGGGUUUAAAGGGUGCGCAGGCGGGAUGUUAAGUCGGCGGUGAAAUUUUGCAGCUCAACUGUAAAAGUGCCUUCGAUACUGGCUUCCUUGAGUGUAGAUGAAGUAGGCGGAAUUUGUGGUGUAGCGGUGAAAUGCUUAGAUAUCACGAGGAACUCCGAUUGCGCAGGCAGCUUACUAAACUACAACUGACGCUCAUGCACGAAGGCGUGGGGAUCAAACA
rnacentral:rRNA from 1 species